ACUUUUUCAGGUUAAACAUGUGAUUUGAAAUUUUGAUCUUUAAUAUUAAUGCUGACCACUAGCAUGACAGAUAUGAGUAAAAAGAAAGUUCCAAGUUUAAUUUUCCAAAACUGAAUUUACCCAAAGGGAUGGGAAAACACACAGAAAAGAUCUCUCCCUGGGCAUCAUCUCUCCCAUCAUGUUGGCUGCCUUCAGGAGUCUGCUUCAUUGCAGCAAAAUGAAACAGAUCAGCACCAUAGUUACUGUUUUUUAAGUGACUUCCAAGAAUUUUCUUAUCAGGAUUAAAAUGAAGCAAAUUACAUAAUGCUAUGGAGCCUGGAUCCAGCAACUCUUGAGGCUGCCAGAAACAUCAGCUGUGGAAUACAGAUGGGCUGUAUUAGCAUCUUCUUUGUGGAUCUCUUCCUUCCUCUGACUAAAAACCUGAUCUGUGGAGAGGAGCUCCAGCAUUAACACUGCACUCACAGUUCCAAGGAUUUGGUUGUCU
rnacentral:lncRNA from 1 species